UGCCUAACACAUGCAAGUCGAACGGGGCCCGCAAGGGUUCAGUGGCGAACGGGUGCGUAACACGUGAAGAACUUGUCCAUCGGCGGGGGAUAGCCGGCCCAACGGCCGGGUAAUACCGCGUACGCCGUCUGGAGCGCAUGCUCUGGCCGGGAAAGCAGCAAUGCACCGAUGGAGAGCUUCGCGGCCUAUCAGCUAGUUGGCGGGGUAAUGGCCCACCAAGGCGACGACGGGUAGCUGGUCUGAGAGGAUGACCAGCCACAUUGGGACUGAGACACGGCCCAGACUCCUACGGGAGGCAGCAGUGGGGAAUAUUGCGCAAUGGGCGAAAGCCUGACGCAGCGACGCCGCGUGUGGGAUGACGGCCUUCGGGUUGUAAACCACUGUCGCGAGGGACGAAACAAAUGACGGUACCUCGAAAGGAAGCACCGGCUAACUCUGUGCCAGCAGCCGCGGUAAUACAGAAGGUGCGAGCGUUGUCCGGAAUUACUGGGCGUAAAGGGCGCGU
rnacentral:rRNA from 1 species